AAUUCAUGAUGUGGGCAUCUUUUUAAUAGCUCCUUGAAACGCUCCCAGGCAUCAUACAAAGUCUCUUGUUCCCAUUGACCAAAAUUAUAUAUAUCACUUUGCAAUU